rnacentral:rRNA from 1 species
AUUGAACGCUGGCGGCAUGCCUUACACAUGCAAGUCGAACGGUAACAGGUCUUCGGAUGCUGACGAGUGGCGAACGGGUGAGUAAUACAUCGGAACGUGCCUAGUAGUGGGGGAUAACUACUCGAAAGAGUGGCUAAUACCGCAUGAGAUCUACGGAUGAAAGCAGGGGAUCGCAAGACCUUGUGCUACUAGAGCGGCCGAUGACAGAUUAGGUAGUUGGUGGGAUAAAAGCUUACCAAGCCGACGAUCUGUAGCUGGUCUGAGAGGACGAUCAGCCACACUGGGACUGAGACACGGCCCAGACUCCUACGGGAGGCAGCAGUGGGGAAUUUUGGACAAUGGGCGCAAGCCUGAUCCAGCAAUGCCGCGUGCAGGAUGAAGGCCUUCGGGUUGUAAACUGCUUUUGUACGGAACGAAAAGCCCUGGGUUAAUACCCUGGGGUCAUGACGGUACCGUAAGAAUAAGCACCGGCUAACUACGUGCCAGCCGCCGCGGUAAGAC